CUUCGUGAUUCUUCAAAUAUUCAGAAGAGAAAACUAACUAGGAUUUGGAAAGCAAAAGUUAAUUGUCUAGAAGAAAUUCUGAAUACAUAUGAAAACAAUACGUCAAAUGUGCCUGGACGCUGCAACACAAUAUAGCAAAACCGAGGUAACUGGUCCUUCUCUGAAGAAAACUGAUAUCUUAUUUCUGCUGAAAAUAAGAUCUUGGCAGCAAGGAAAUUGUCCUGAAGCCCUGAGCUCCAGUCUUAUCAAGAAAUAUAACAAAGAAGAAUUGGAAAUGUAUGGCACAAUAACCCUUCCCACAUUUUCUUAUACGGAAGAUAAUUAUAGAGACAUUUUAACAUUAUGUGUUCAUUCAAGCAUGCUAAACUCAACAUAUUGUAAUAAUUGAUUGGAGAUCUCUUAAUCAAACCCAAACAUCAAAAUAUGGGCUUAAAUGGUUAUGUGAUUUUUAAAUUUUAAAUAUAUUUGUACAUAGAAGUAAAUGCUAAUAUAUUAAAAUCUCAGACCCUGGUAAAUAAAUAAGAGGAAACCACAUAGCACGUAUACACUAAGGAGCGUUUAGUCACAAUCAGCACUUAAAAAAUACCUAACAUUUAUUGAUUGCUUCUAAUGUUCCCAAUACUACUUCAAUGUAUCACUAUAUUAGAUCAUGCACUGCCCCAAUAAUUCCUACAAAACUGUACUAUUUUUAUGGCUGUCAUAUUAAUAAAGAAACUGAGACCCAGAAAGAAUGAGGAAUUUUCCAAAGUUGUAUAGCUAGUAAAAAAUAGAAACAUAAUUUAAGCCAAGAUAGGUUUAGUCUAGAGAUUACACAUGGAACCAUUAUGCUAUGCUGACCUCAGAACAGUAAGUCAUGUCAGAUCAAGAUGUAAAAAUAUUGCUUCUUCAGAAAUAGUCAGUAAAUCUGAGGGCUGCAGAUUUACAUUUUCCCUACCUGGCUGUAUCUUUCAGAGAGAAACAAAUGAGAAAAAUAACUUUCAAGAAUGAAAUAUUAUACUAGCUCUUUAUAAAGAGUAUUUUAUGAAUAUUUUAUACUAAUCAUUCUCUGGAAUAUGGAAGAAAGAGACUAAUAGAAGUGAUAUUUUUCACCUUAGUAGACUCCAGCAAGCUUAAAGAAUAUAGGUCUCCUUUAUUUUUAGUUCUCAUCUACUAUGCGAC
ensembl:lncRNA